GCUCUUUUAAGAGCCACCCACAUUUUCUCAAAAAGAGCUG
rfam:Colius striatus contig62374, whole genome shotgun sequence.